CAAGGAAUAUUGCCCAAUGGACGGAAGUCUGAGGCAGCAACGCCGCGUGAGGGACGAAGGCCUUCGGGUCGUAAACUUCUUUUCUGAGGGAUGAGAAAGGACAGUACCUCAGGAAUAAGCUUCGGCUAACUACGUGCCAGCAGCCGCGGUAAAACGUAGGAAGCAAGCGUUAUCCGGAUUUACUGGGCGUAAAGGGCAGGCAGGCGGUUGGUUAAGUUGGACUUGAAAGCUCCCGGCUCAACUGGGAGAGGCGGUUCAAAACUGGCCAACUAGAGGAUGAUAGAGGAGAGUGGAAUUCCCGGUGUAGUGGUGAAAUGCGUAGAUAUCGGGAGGAACACAGUGGCGAAAGCGGCUCUCUGGGUCACACCUGACGCUCAACUGCGAAAGCCAGGGGAGAGAACGGGAUUAGAAACCCCGGUAUUCCUGGCCGUAAACGAUGUUAACUAGGCGUAGGCGGUGUCAAAGCCGUCUGUGCUGCAGCCAACGCGAUAAGUUAACCGCCUGGGGAGUACGGCCGACG
rnacentral:rRNA from 1 species